GAUGAACGCUAGCGGCAGGCCUAAUACAUGCAAGUCGAACGGUGUAGCAAUACACAGUGGCGCACGGGUGCGUAACACGUAUGCAACCUACCUUACAUUGGGGGAUAGCCUUUCGAAAGGGAGAUUAAUACCGCAUAAGACAGUAACUAGGCAUCUAGUAGCUGUUAAAGAUUUAUCAAUGUAAGCUUGGCAUGCGUCCAAUUAGUUAGUUGGCGAGGUAAUGGCUCACCAAGACGAUGAUUGGUAGGGGAACUGAGAGGUCAAUCCCCCACACUGGCACUGAGAUACGGGCCAGACUCCUACGGGAGGCAGCAGUAGGGAAUAUUGGGCAAUGGGCUCAAGCCUGACCCAGCCAUGCCGCGUGCAGGAAGAAGGCGUUAUGCGUUGUAAACUGCUUUUAUACAGGAAGAAACGACCCUUGCGAGGGGCAUUGACGGUACUGUAUGAAUAAGCACCGGCUAACUCCGUGCCAGCAGCCGCUGUAACAC
rnacentral:rRNA from 1 species